CAGGAGGUUCGACUCGAGCGAAGCGAGAGAACGUUGCGUCAGCAACGGCCCGCAGGGCGAGUCACGCAGUGGCGAGUCAUCCUCUAUCACCGACCA
rnacentral:sRNA from 4 species